rnacentral:rRNA from 1 species
AGUGAACGCUGGCGGUAGGCCUAACACAUGCAAGUCGAACGGCAGCACAGUAAGAGCUUGCUCUUACGGGUGGCGAGUGGCGGACGGGUGAGGAAUACAUCGGAAUCUACUUUUUCGUGGGGGAUAACGUAGGGAAACUUACGCUAAUACCGCAUACGACCUACGGGUGAAAGCAGGGGAUCUUCGGACCUUGCGCGAUUGAAUGAGCCGAUGUCGGAUUAGCUAGUUGGCGGGGUAAAGGCCCACCAAGGCGACGAUCCGUAGCUGGUCUGAGAGGAUGAUCAGCCACACUGGAACUGAGACACGGUACAGACUCCUACGGGAGGCAGCAGUGGGGAAUAUUGGAAAAUGGGCGCAAGCCUGAUCCAGCCAUACCGCGUGGGUGAAGAAGGCCUUCGGGUUGUAAAGCCCUUUUGUUGGGAAAGAAAAGCAGCAGGUUAAUACCCCGCUGUUCUGACGGUACCCAAAGAAUAAGCACCGGCUAACUUCG